GAUGAACGCUGGCGGCGUGCCUAAUACAUGCAAGUCGAGCGAACGGACGAGAAGCUUGCUUCUCUGAUGUUAGCGGCGGACGGGUGAGUAACACGUGGAUAACCUACCUAUAAGACUGGGAUAACUUCGGGAAACCGGAGCUAAUACCGGAUAAUAUUUUGAACCGCAUGGUUCAAAAGUGAAAGACGGUCUUGCUGUCACUUAUAGAUGGAUCCGCGCUGCAUUAGCUAGUUGGUAAGGUAACGGCUUACCAAGGCAACGAUGCAUAGCCGACCUGAGAGGGUGAUCGGCCACACUGGAACUGAGACACGGUCCAGACUCCUACGGGAGGCAGCAGUAGGGAAUCUUCCGCAAAGGGCGAAAGCCUCACGGAGCAACGCCGCGUGAGUGAUGAAGGUCUUCGGAUCGUAAAACUCUGUUAUUAGGGAAGAACAUAUGUGUAAGUAACUGUGCACAUCUUGACGGUACCUAAUCAGAAAGCCACGGCUAACUACGUG
rnacentral:rRNA from 1 species